CUACGUGCCAGCAGCCGCGGUAAUACGUAGGGUGCGAGCGUUAAUCGGAAUUACUGGGCGUAAAGCGAGCGCAGACGGUUACUUAAGCAGGAUGUGAAAUCCCCGGGCUCAACCUGGGAACUGCGUUCUGAACUGGGUGACUAGAGUGUGUCAGAGGGAGGUAGAAUUCCACGUGUAGCAGUGAAAUGCGUAGAGAUGUGGAGGAAUACCGAUGGCGAAGGCAGCCUCCUGGGAUAACACUGGCGUUCAUGCUCGAAAGCGUGGGUAGCAAACAGGAUUAGAUACCCUGGUAGUCCACGCCCUAAACGAUGUCAAUUAGCUGUUGGGCAACUUGAUUGCUUAGUAGCGUAGCUAACGCGUGAAAUUGACCGCCUGGGGAGUACGGUCGCAAGAUUAAAACUCAAAGGAAUUGACGGGGACCCGCACAAGCGGUGGAUGAUGUGGAUUAAUUCGAUGCAACGCGAAGAACCUUACCUGGUCUUGACAU
rnacentral:rRNA from 1 species